GACGAACCGUGCGAACGUUGUUCGGAUUCACUGGGCUUAAAGGGCGCGUAGGCGGACGGUCAAGUCGGGGGUGAAAUCUUUCAGCUUAACUGGAAAAGUGCCUCCGAUACUGAUCGUCUCGAGGGAGGUAGGGGCAUGUGGAACUUCCGGUGGAGCGGUGAAAUGCGUAGAUAUCGGGAGGAACACCAGUGGCGAAGGCGAUCACCUGGGGUUGUUCUGACGCUGAGGAGCGAAAAGCUAGGGGAGCAAACGGG
rnacentral:rRNA from 1 species